rnacentral:lncRNA from 1 species
GCCUUUCCCACCUCUUGAGUUGAUUUUUUUUUUUUUUAAAAAAGUGUUGAUGCUUUAAAAAAAAUACAUUUUAGGACAUUCUGUGGUAAUUUUGUUGCACAGCCAUGUUAUGAAUCUAACACAUCAUUCCUUGUAAUGCCCUACUAAAAAUCAUCACAGUACUAAAGAGAUUGGAUUCCCCAACAUGGUGCCUGCCUAUAAGGUCACACACAUCCCAGGAGAGCUGUGAAUGUAACUGAAGACCUUUGGUCAAAGGCAUACUGCACUGCCAAAGAACUAGACACCACUCUUAGACUGAUAGGAUGGCCAUGGUGUCCUUUGUGUGUAGAAUAGGCUGAGUGGCUGUCCUAACAGAUGUCACCGUAGGCAGUAUCCACACAGGAAGAAGACAAAGAUGGUAGACUAUGGCUAAAUCAUGCUAGCAGGCUGAAAAUGGUGUUCACGCUCAAGGAGGAGCGCGUCCUUGAGGCAAAGGCUUUAAGUGACCUGGUAAAAAUUUAAAAAAAAAAAAUGCCAACAGUCCUUUAUAAAAGGCUUGUAGUCACAGUUCAUCUGUAGCAUGGUAAGGACCACUUUAUAGGAAUGCCUCUACCAUUCAUUCAUUCAUUCAUUCAGUCGGUCAGUCUAUCUGCAUGUAUGUGUCUGCAUGCCAGAAGAGGGCAUCAGAUUCAAGUAUAGAUGACUGUAUGCCACCAUGUGGUUGCUGGGAAUCGAACUCAUGACCUUUGGAAGAGCAGAGAGUGCUCUUAACUGCUAAGCCAUCUCUCUAGGCUGCCUGUGUUACUUUUAAAUACAGAGGUAUUGUUAGUGAGUUCUCAUAUAUGAAGACAGUACUAUGUUUCGUAAGUAAGCACCCAUUAGUGUCUGCAGAAUUUAGUGAUACUUCAGAUACGAUGUUAAAUGCUCUUCUGAACAUUUGAUUUGAAUUUCGUUUAUAGGUGUCGUAUAUGAUGUCAGUCAUUACAAUGCUUUACUUAAAGUAUAUCUUCAAAAUGAAUACAAAUUUUCACCUACUGACUUCCUGGCAAAGAUGGAGGGAGCAAACAUCCAACCAAAUCGAGUAGGUAACUGCUGCUGUGGGUCCUGGGCCUCCGGACCCACUUCUGUUGUUUUUCAGAAAAACAUGAUUAUGCAUGAAAAUGCUAAGCAGCCCAUUCCAUUGCAGGUAACAUACCAGAGGCUGAUAGCUGCCUACUGUAAUGUUGGGGACAUUGAAGGUGCCAGGUAUGUAUUCUGUAAAUGCGGGCUACUUUGUAGUUUCCUUUUCAUGUAUUUAUUGUGUGUUUGUGUGUGUGUGUUUGUGUAUUGUGUGUUUGUGUGUGCAUGAGCGUGGAAUCAAGAACACAGCUUACAGGAGUCGGCCCUGGCUGUCAUGUGUAUUCUGGGUUCAGUUGUCUGGCUUGGCCAUAAGCUCCUUUUCCUGACAGACUAUCUAACUCAUCAUCUAUAAAUGGAGGUUUAUACAAGUAGAUUUAUAAAUUGUAAAAUCCUAAGAUAUAUCUACUUUUCUGAAAAAAUAUUUUUUCUUUAUAAAGGUAAUUGUUUCAGAAGUAUUUUAAUAUAGUGAAUUUAGUAAAAUGAUAUUAUUGUAUAAAAGGGAAAAAAGUAAAAGUUAUGAUCUAAUUGGUCAGAACAGAAGCAUAAUUUGUUAAGAUGCAAAGCUGGACUGACUUUUUAAAACCCUGCGUCCUAAGGGAACUUCAUCAACCCUUUAAAGUGCUCAUUUACAAAAGUAGAAUCCUUUCCCACUGACUCAGGUAGAAUUGUUGCAAUAUUUCUCUGCUUAUCUAAAAUUCAUUGCCAUUUUAAAUUGAAGCUUAAGAAAUAAGGCGUAGGUUGAGAUACACAGUCUAUAUUGAUGUUCCUUCCUGCCCCCAUGCUAGGGAUUGAACCUAGGAGCUUUAACAAGAGUAUUCAAAUUAUUGAUAUUUCAAGGAAAUUUCCUGAGAAGGGGAUUAUCUUUCCCUCUGUUGUUUUUUUGUUUUUGUUUAACAAGGACAUGUUUUUAUGCUAAAUAAAAAUAACUUAAGGCCUCGUUCACACACAAAUCACAGUAAGCCUCUGAUAAAUGUCCCUUCUCUAUUGCAGCAAGAUCCUUGGAUUUAUGAAAACGAAAGACCUUCCGAUCACAGAGGCCGUGUUCAGUGCUCUCGUCACAGGGCAUGCGAGAGCUGGGUAACUUUCCACUUGGGCUUUGGUUGUCAGCAGGCUUAAGCCCUAGGUUACUGUAGAGAACUCACAGCGUGUUGACUCCUGUUCCAAACACUGAUGCGAGGUGGAACACAACGAGAUUUUUAUGACUUCCCCUGAAAUUUGAUACACAGAAUUUACAAUUGCUCAGGGUUAAAAAUAGGGCUUGAUUUGAGGUAAUUAAAUAAUAAAGUUUACUGAUCUAAGAAGUAUUUUAUUUUUCUCAAGUGAGUAGUCUGCUCUGUUGUUAGGUAAAGCUAUGUCCUUGCAUUCCUAGUGUAAGAGGGAUUCUUAAUUAAUGCUUACAUAGUUUUACAUAAGGGGGUGGGGUUACCUGUAAAUACUGCAGGUACUUACGAGAACAUCUAGUAUUCCAGAAUUAUGUAAUCAGUUUAAUGAGUAUUUGCCUACUUGGGGGAUAGUUCCACAAGUUUAAAAGGAUUGAUUUAAUAAGGUUAGGUCUUAUAUUUUAUUAAACUGAGUGAUUGUAUUCAGUAAUCUUAUGUUUCCUUUGGAAUACUUCACAGGGAUAUGGAAAAUGCAGAAAAUAUUCUCACAGUGAUGAAACAGGCCGGCAUUGAGCCUGGCCCAGACACGUAUCUGGCCUUGUUGAAUGCACAUGCUGAGAGGGGUGACAUUGGCCAGGUUAGGCAGGUAUGGUUUAUGCUCUCCAAGUCAAUGUUGAAGUCAUUAAAUGAACUUGUGUUAUAUUUUAUGUGAAGCAAAAAACAUAGCUUGUGCCGGGCAGUGGUGGCGCACGCCUUUAAUCCCAGCACUUGGGAGGCAGAGGCAGGCAGAUUUCUGAGUUUGAGGCCAGCCUGGUCUACAAAGUGAGUUCCAGGACAGCCAGGGCUAUACAGAGAAACCCUGUCUGGAAAAACCAAAAACC